GCCGCAUUAGUUCAGUGGUUUUAGAACACCCCCCUGGUACGGGGGAGGUCCUGGGUUCGAUUCCCAGAUGCGGCAC
rnacentral:tRNA from 2 species